rnacentral:rRNA from 1 species
GACGUAGGGCGCGAGCGUUGUCCGGAUUUACUGGGCGUAAAGGGCGCGUAGGCGGUCAGCACAAGUCAGUUGUGAAAUCUCCGGGCUUAACUCGGAAAGGUCAACUGAUACUGUGCGACUAGAGUGCAGAAGGGGCAACUGGAAUUCUCGGUGUAGCGGUGAAAUGCGUAGAUAUCGAGAGGAACACCUGCGGCGAGGGCGGGUUGCUGGGCUGACACUGACGCCGGAUGCGCGAAAGCCAGGGGAGCGAACGGG